GGCAUCCUGCUCCCUUCGAAGCCUUGCGUUCCUACGCGAGGGGUUGAUGUAGAAGAAGCGGGAUGCU
rnacentral:ncRNA from 1 species